AGUAUCAUUGCAGCGCCUUUUCAGGGAGUAGCGUGCCGCACUGGUUCAGGGGCUUUGUCUUUAUUCACAACACAUUCAUGUGCCUCAGCAUGGGGGGAGCUGCACUGUUGCCUGCCAGCCUGUCCUCUUUGACUGCCGAAUGAACCAAAGGAUAACUCUCCAUUCGUGAGAGAGAGUGAGCUACAGAGGAAGAAAGACCACGCAAAAAGGAGGGGGAGAGACGGGGGGAAAAGGAUGUUCUCCGGCUCACUCCUACAUUAGGUCUCUGUGCAAAGGCAGAGGCUGUGGGAGCAGCAUCAAGCAAGCCUUCGGGCAGUGAUUCUAACUAUUGCCCAUGAACACCGUAGCCAGGACGACUUUGACGAGGCAAUUUAUUACUUAUGCAUAGAACAGUAGCUGUGCUGAAACUGGGAGCACAGACACCCCCUUGUUUUCUAAUUUAGAGACUUGCAUCUUUUUGACACUCAACACUAUCAAGACACUCUGCUACUACAGAUUGAUUUCCACCAUCAACACCCUUACCUCUCCCCACCUGAAAAUAAAAUAUGAAAUAUAACAAGUAAAUUGCAAUCUACUUUGUAUCUUCUGGAGAGGGAAAGAAGAAACAAUGUCUAGACAAGGUACUGGAAAGACCCAGGGAAGACACAGGUGAGCUAAGAAAGCAGUAGAAACUGGGUAAUUAAAAGUCAACAUAAUGGCUGGAAACUUGGCCAAGGAGAUAGAAAAAGAAAGAAAAACCAAAAGAGAGACUGUGUAGAUGAACUUUGUCUGUUUACAAUUUUGUCUAAGGCCAAAUCUGCAGGCUGCUCCCACCGCAUGUUAUCUAAGUUAUUAAUGUACCAAUACUAAUAGCUACUGAAAUUCUUUCAUAAAAAUGAAAAUCAUUUCCCUUUUGAUUUGCUAGUUUUUCCUCUUGGUAAAUAAAGACUCAUUUUUUAGUAAUAACUGACCUGCCCUAAGGGUUCAACACUUUCCUCUGAUCUCAAAUCUUGUGCUAGGUCUUUAGGUUACAAUUCGUGAAACUAAAAAGUAAACAAACAAAAAAAAAGAUUCUCUUA